UACAGAGGGGGCAAGCGUUGUUCGGAAUUACUGGGCGUAAAGGGCGCGUAGGCGGCCUUCUAAGUCGAACGUGAAAUCCCUGGGCUCAACCCAGGAACUGCGUCCGAGACUGGAAGGCUUGAAUCCGGGAGAGGGAUGCGGAAUUCCAGGUGUAGCGGUGAAAUGCGUAGAUAUCUGGAGGAACACCGGUGGCGAAGGCGGCAUCCUGGACCGGUAUUGACGCUGAGGCGCGAAAGCCAGGGGAGCAAACGGG
rnacentral:rRNA from 1 species